GAACAUUUACUGAUAAAUUAUAACCAUAUAUUAUGUAUUGACAUGGGAGAGACACUGUGCCCCAUCUUACCUUUAUUAUGUGUUUUAUGUGGAAAUCAUAUACAUUACGCUGGUGUUUCCUGAAGCAUAUUAUUUAAGUUGAGUUGAAAAUAAUUGAAGGAAUAGUCAUUUCUGCUAUGCUGUUGGAAAAUGUCAAUGUCUGUUGAUGCUUUAUGCUCGGGUCUAAAGGAGAUGAAAAGUAAUCAGUUUUUAAGGAUCUUCUUAAAGAGAAGGUUCUGUCCCUCCAUGUUAUACAAAAUACCUCUAGCUUUAUUUUUUUCAGCUCCCCUCCUUUUUUUUGCACUCUUUAGGGCACGAGUGUGCUCGUUAUACCACAGUGUUGGACUGUCACUACAUUAAACAUGAAUGAUUAUAAACCUUUUACAAGCCUUUUGAUUAAAAAUGGUUAUCGUUUUGUAUUGUAAAUACUGUUGCUAAUCAUGCAGUUCAAGUUGAGGAAGUUUAAGGAACUUUUUCUGUUUCGACAGUUGCUGCUUCAUCUGUGUGUUUGCUGUGCUGAUAAACAAAGGUUGUCUGCUGGUGACAAUAGAGGCUGUUGUUGGCAGUUCUGUUGUCCUGCCGUGUUCUUCAACUAAACUUCAAGAUAUUGAUGUGAGCUGGAGGCACAAUGACAGCAAAAUUGUAUUUGAUAUAAUUCCACACAGUACUGCACCAGUGACACAGGACACAGAGAACAAGAACAGAGUUGAAACUUUCCCUCAGGAGUAUCUGAAAGGAAAUUUCUCCAUCAAACUCAAAAAUCUCCAGCACACUGAUGCAGGACAAUACAUCUGCUACAUCAAAAAUUCAAAUGAAUACAAGAUUGUAAAACUGAUCAUCAACGAAUCACUAUCCACUGAUCGAGGAAACCAAGGAGAGACAGAACAGGAUGGAACGAGGUCAUCGCUGCCUUUGCUCAUGGUUUGCGUUAUAUUACCUGUAAUAUUAUUUAUAGUGGUUGCUAUUUUUCAGGCCAGAAAAGUGCUCAAUAAUCCAGCUAGAAACGGUGUGGUUUUGGCCACUCGUGAAGUUGUGAGCUAUAGUACACAAUAUGAUCCAGUAAAGACUGAUAAUCAUGACGAAGCGGUUGAUAAAUGAAAAAAAAAAAAAA